AAAAAGGUAAGCUAAAUUUAAGCUAAUGGGUUCAUACCCCAUUCAUGGAGGCAUUAAUCCUCCCCUUUUUA
rnacentral:tRNA from 1 species